CCUACGGGGGGCAGCAGUGAGGAAUAUUGGUCAAUGGACGCAAGUCUGAACCAGCCAUGCCGCGUGCAGGAAGACGGCUCUAUGAGUUGUAAACUGCUUUUGUACGAGGGUAAACGCAGAUACGCGUAUCUGUCUGAAAGUAUCGUACGAAUAAGGAUCGGCUAACUCCGUGCCAGCAGCCGCGGUAAUACGGAGGAUUCAAGCGUUAUCCGGAUUUAUUGGGUUUAAAGGGUGCGUAGGUGGUCGGAUAAGUUAGAGGUGAAAUCUCGAGGCUCAACUUCGGAAUUGCCUUUGAUACUGGUCGGCUUGAGUGUAGUUGCGGUAGGCGGAAUGUAUGGUGUAGCGGUGAAAUGCUUAGAGAUCAUACAGAACACCGAUUGCGAAGGCAGCUUACCAAGCUACUUCUGACGUUGAGGCACGAAAGCGUGGGGAGCAAACAGGAUUAGAUACCCGGGUAGUC
rnacentral:rRNA from 1 species